GGGUUCCCACAGGUGAUACUGACCGACCAAGAUGGGUUCCCACAGGUGAUACUGACCGACCAAGAUGGGUUCCCACAGGUGAUACUGACCGACCAAGAUGGGUUCCCACAGGUGAUACUGACCGACCAAGAUGGGUUCCCACAGGUGAUACUGACCGACCAAGAUGGGUUCCCACAGGCGAUACUGACCGACCAAGAUGGGUUCCCACAGGUGACCCUGACCGACCAAGUUGGGUUCCCACAGGUGAUACUGACCGACCAAGAUGGGUUCCCACAGGCGAUACUGACCGACCAAGAUGGGUUCCCACAGGCGAUACUGACCGACCAAGAUGGGUUCCCACAGGCGAUACUGACCGACCAAGAUGGGUUCCC